rnacentral:rRNA from 1 species
CGCGUAGGCGGCCACCGCAAGUCGACUGUGAAAUCUCCGGGCUUAACUCGGAAAGGUCAGCCGAUACUGCGGGGCUAGAGUGCAGAAGGGGCAACUGGAAUUCCACGUGUAGCAGUGAAAUGCGUAGAGAUGUGGAGGAACACCGAUGGCGAAGGCAGCCCCUGGGUCAACACUGACGCUCAGGCACGAAAGCUGGGAGCAAACA